GAUGAACGCUGGCGGCGUGCCUAAUACAUGCAAGUCGAGCGAACAGACGAGGAGCUUGCUCCUCUGACGUUAGCGGCAGACGGGUGAGUAACACGUGGAUAACCUACCUAUAAGACUGGGAUAACUUCGGGAAACCGGAGCUAAUACCGGAUAAUAUAUUGAACCGCAUGGUUCAAUAGUGAAAGACGGUUUUGCUGUCACUUAUAGAUGGAUCCGCGCCGCAUUAGCUAGUUGGUAAGGUAACGGCUUACCAAGGCAACGAUGCGUAGCCGACCUGAGAGGGUGAUCGGCCACACUGGAACUGAGACACGGUCCAGACUCCUACGGGAGGCAGCAGUAGGGAAUCUUCCGCAAUGGGCGAAAGCCUGACGGAGCAACGUCGCGUGAGUGAUGAAGGUCUUCGGAUCGUAAAACUCUGUUAUUAGGGAAGAACAAAUGUGUAAGUAACUAUGCACGUCUUGACGGUACCUAAUCAGAAAGCCACGGCUAACUACGUG
rnacentral:rRNA from 1 species